rfam:Glossina palpalis gambiensis isolate 146720 unplaced genomic scaffold Scaffold5, whole genome shotgun sequence.
AUUUUUAUCUCGCUGGCAGAACAUUUACUAAAAUUGGAACGACGCAGAGAAAAUUAGUAUGGGGCUUACACAAGAAUGACUGACAAUAUCGUGAAGCUUUCCGGAUUUUA